CGGGAGCAGAAGCCGGUCCUUAGCGCCCGGGCUGCGGUUUCCAUCUUGAGCAGAUCUCCCCCUGAAACUUCUCCAAGUGCCCCCCACAACUUACUCUUUUCCCGAGUUCUCGUCCUCAUUCGGCUGCCUUCCGCAACCGGGCAGGGCCAAGAGAUCGGGAAUUUGGGACGGACAAAGCAUUCAGGUCUAGGGGUUUCGGGUUUUUGUUUUGUUUUUUUCAGCAGGACGUGGCGGAGGUAGAGUGGUGGGGGAAACUAGGGAGACUUUUUCUCCGGGGAUGACCCGGCCCGGCGGGGCGAGCGCAGCACGAUUUCGCGCGCCGCACGCGUCUACACUCUCCUGCGCUUUGCAGCCGGACGGCGGGGGCCGCGGGGGGGGGGGCGCGCGCGCGCGGAAAAGACCACCGCCCGGGCCGAUUACUUGUUUAACAGGCCUGGGAGUGGGAUUUAUUUCAUGCGUCCAACCUUACAGUUUUUCAUAAAGAAAACCCGAACCCUUAUGAAUGCCCUUUCCAGUCUGCCCCCCCCCGCCCAAUUAAAAAAAAAAUCAUUAACGCACAACUUUCCACGCGCGCUCUGAACUAGGGGGCACACACACACCCCUAGACUCUUGAACAAUGAAAAAAAGUUACUUUGGCAAGAAUGAAGGUAAAGAAAUGGGGGAGGCGACACUUUUAACUUUUUGUUGCUUCUCCCCCGCCCCCACGGGAACGGAACAUAUGGCUUGUCACGCUGUGCUGUUUUGGCGGGAUGGGGGGAGGAGGGUAUGGGACCCUCGAAACCGAAAGCCCCCCCCAAUAGAUUACUUCUUUUAAGACUGUUAUAUAUUUACUGUUAGGUUCGGAUGCCUCUCCAUCCACCCGAAUAAAAAGUUGUUAAUGUGUCGCCCACGGUCCCCCGGGUGCUGGAGCGAAGACCCAGGCGGAAAUCGCGGGGCUGUGUUUCUUUCCUAUUUCCCCGCGUGCCUGGCCGCCUCCUCGGCCCUCGCACGUUUCUUCCCAGCACUCGAGGCCGCCGGGUCUGUUAUGAAACCCCGAGCGCUGAGUGGCUAAGAGCGGGUUCCAUUGCGAUGUAAUUAGGUCACCCCAUUAUGAGCACGUUUCUUUGGAAAGGACAGGGCGGGCGGAGCAGAGCGCUCCAGUCGCGCUCUCACCACCACCACCCACCCACCCACCCACACACACACGCAUUUUUAUUACAUUUCUGAUGUGUUCGUCAACCUCCGAGCAGACCCAGGGAAACCUUCCAAAUCACAACGAAAGGAACCGGUUGUUUUUCAUCUUUGCGAAACACACAACUUUUGCUGCAGCCAUGAAUCUACGUGAUCUCAGCCCGAUCUGCUUUUAUUUGGCCCCUCAGACUUAAAAUGAUGGCCCCCGUUUUUAACCCGGCUGCUGCCCCUUGCCUUUCCUUCUGCUGCCGUCCAGCCUCCUGUUGCUCCCCCCCCCAUCCCAUUUUUCAGCUUUUCAUGAAAUCUGGCAAGCGCCAUAAAGGGAAAUAACUUCCAUCCACCUUAAUUUAAAUCAUACAAGUAACGCCGAUUCCUCGAAUUUCCUCCGCUUUUCCAACUCCCGGCCGCUGCUCCCCUCCCCCCGCUCCCGGGGCGAGGGCUCCGCGGGGCGGCGGCCUGGCCCGCUCGCUCCGGAGUUGUUUACCGGCCCCGCCGACCCACCGAGUUUGUUCCAGCUCCCAGAGCCUGUCUCUAUAAUUAAACUCUUUUUUAAUUGUC